rnacentral:rRNA from 1 species
AUGGAGCUCGAUCUCCCGCCGCCGCGACAGGCACCGCCGCUGACCGACCUGGCCGCCGCCAUCCGCCUGGCCGCCGAGGCCGCGGCCGCGCUCUCCGCGCCAUCAUCCUCCUCGGCCGCAGCCGCUGCGGCCGCCACCCUCCGCGACGCUCACGCCGCCAUCGGCAGCUUCCUCUCCCGCCUCGAUGCGCCCGCCGCCGUGCCGUCCGACAACGAUCAGCCCAUGGCGGAUGGCUGCGAGGCGGGGGAGCCGAUGAUCGGGGAGGUGGAGGACGGGCUCCGGGAGUGCGCCCUGCAGGGGAACAAGCGCCGGAAACGGCCCGUCCCGCCUUCGUGGCCCCUCGGGCCCCGUUCGAGUGGCGCUUGCGUGGCGCCGGAGGCCACCGCCGAGCCGGUGCUGGACGUGCAACGGCGGCGGGGUGCUGCCAUGGAUCUCUUGCUGCAGUUCCAUGCGUAG